CAGCCAGUUGGCGGGGUAACGGCCCACCAAAGCGAAGAUCGGUAGCCGGCCUGAGAGGGCGCACGGCCACACUGGAACUGAAACACGGUCCAGACUCCUACGGGAGGCAGCAGUGGGGAAUUUUGCGCAAUGGGGGAAACCCUGACGCAGCAACGCCGCGUGGAGGAUGAAGCCCCUUGGGGCGUAAACUCCUUUCGACCAAGACGAUAAUGACGGUACUGGUGGAAGAAGCACCGGCUAACUCUGUGCCAGCAGCCGCGGUAAUACAGAGGGUGCGAGCGUUGUUCGGAAUUAUUGGGCGUAAAGGGCGCGUAGGCGGUGCCACAAGUCACCUGUGAAAUCUCUGGGCUCAACCCAGAGUCUGCAUUAGAAACUGUCGGGCUUGAGUAUGGGAGAGGUGAGUGGAAUUUCCGGUGUAGCGGUGAAAUGCGUAGAUAUCGGAAGGAACACCUGUGGCGAAAGCGGCUCACUGGACCAUAACUGACGCUGAGGCGCGAAAGCUAGGGGAGCAAACAGGGUUAGAUACCCUGGUAGUCCUAGCCCUAAACGAUGAUUGCUUGAUGUGGCAGGUACCCAAUCCUGCCGUGUCGAAGCUAACGCGAUAAGCAAUCCGCCUGGGGAGUACGGUCGCAAGGCU
rnacentral:rRNA from 1 species